UCCCUGAUGGCUCAGUCAGUAAAGAGUCUGCCUGCAAUGCAGGAGACCCAGGUUUGAUUCCUGGGUCCGGAA
rfam:Ovis aries breed Texel chromosome 3, whole genome shotgun sequence.